AAUCAAACUCCGUGAUAGCUGGUUCUCCCCGAAAUGCAUUUAGGUGCAGCGUCACGUGUUUCUUACCGGAGGUAGAGCUACUGGAUAGCUGAUGGGCCUCACCAGGUUACUGACGUUAGCCAAACUCCGAAUGCCGGUAAGUGAGAGCGUGGCAGUGAGACUGCGGGGGAUAAGCUCCGUAGUCGAGAGGGAAACAGCCCAGACCACCAUCUAAGGUCCCUAAGCGUGUGCUAAGUGGGAAAGGAUGUGGAGUUGCAUUGACAACCAGGAGGUUGGCUUAGAAGCAGCCACCCUUUAAAGAGUGCGUAAUAGCUCACUGGUCAAGUGAUUCCGCGCCGACAAUGUAGCGGGGCUCAAGCACACCACCGAAGCUGUGGCAUUGACACACUGCUCGGCCAGUUUUCCUGCGGGGUUCUGGUCCAGGCGUGUUGAUGGGUAGGGGAGCGUCGUGUGGCCAGGGAAGCGGCGGAGUGAUCCAGCCGUGGAGGCCACACGAGUGAGAAUGCAGGCAUGAGUAGCGAAUGACGGGCGAGAAACCCGUCCGCCGAAUAACCAAGGGUUCCAGGGUCAAGCUAAUCUGCCCUGGGUAAGUCGGGACCUAAGGCGAGGCCGACAGGCGUAGUCGAUGGACAUCCGGUUGAUAUUCCGGAACCGGCGAAGAACCGCCCAUGACGAACCUAGUGAUGCUAAACGCCCAAAGCUGUUGUCCAAGACCUUCGGGUUGAGGGUUUCAGUGGAGCGCGUGACCCGAUCUAGUAGUAGUCAAGCGAUGGAGAGACGCAGGAAGGUAGCCUCCGCGUGGCGAUGGUAGUCCACGUCCAAGGGUGUAGGGCGAGCUGUAGGCAAAUCCGCAGCUCACAUAGCCUGAGACCUGAUAGUGACCGCGUAUGCGGGAAGCAGGGUGAUCCUAUGCUGCCAAGAAAAUCUUCUAGCGAG
rnacentral:rRNA from 1 species